AAGGAAUAUUGGUCAAUGGACGCAAGUCUGAACCAGCCAUGCCGCGUGAAGGAUGAAGGUCCUCUGGAUUGUAAACUUCUUUUAUCUGGGACGAAAACGGGAUUUUUAUCUCAAUUGACGGUACCAGAGGAAUAAGCACCGGCUAACUCCGUGCCAGCAGCCGCGGUAAUACGGAGGGUGCAAGCGUUAUCCGGAUUCACUGGGUUUAAAGGGUGCGUAGGUGGGCAGAUAAGUCAGUGGUGAAAUCUUCCGGCUUAACCGGGAAACUGCCGUUGAUACUAUUUGUCUUGAAUAUUGCGGAGGUCAGCGGAAUAUGUCAUGUAGCGGUGAAAUGCUUAGAUAUGACAUAGAACACCAAUUGCGAAGGCAGCUUACUACACAAUCAUUGACACUGAGGCACGAAAGCGUGGGUAGCGAACA
rnacentral:rRNA from 1 species